GCUAGAGAGACGGCUUGGGAGGUUGGACCACGUCUUUCAGAUUCAUCGUUUUCCGGAGGAUGUGGUCUUUGACAGGGGGCCCAAGUUUGUUUCCCAUUUCUGGAGGGAGUUCUGCCGGCAGAUUGGGUCCUCUGCUAGUCUGUCAUUAGGCUUCCAUCCACAGACCAAUGGCCAGAUUGAGCUUGUCAAUCAGGAUCUCGGCCGAAUGCUCUGUUGUCAACCCCUCAUACUGGAGUCAACAGCUCACAUGGGCAGAAUAUGGCAUGCCUGGGGGAACGGAGGGGUUGUCAGGACACUGGUUUUGGCUCGGUUGCCUGUGAUUCUUCUUUGUUUUCUCUUGGAUUCAUCUCGGCCAGCCACCUACUUUCAACUUCGCCUGUCUGACCCUGAGCUGGUCUGUCCUCCGUUGUCCCAUCUGCCUCCCGAUUGAUGCCCGCUGCCUGAUGACUUCUCUCACGCCUGCCGAUUUAGACAUUUGCGUUUGGAUCCUUCUCUUUGGGUGUGACACAGACAUCUCCAAAACUGUUCCAGAUUUUCAGAAAGAUUGAAAGUAAAAGAUGAUGCUGUGCAAAGAAUAUUGGAUCUGAUAGUAAUAUUGCACCACACAAGUGUGAUGUGUGGUGCCAUGUUAGUGGUGAGAUCAGAACUGCUGGAUUUACAACAUGCUAAUUCAUCAAUGUCUCCUGAGUUGCAUAAAAAAAAUGAAGAGAGAAAAAACCAUGGAUCAGAAACAAGAGCAGAGAAGACUGUGCCUUUUUUAAUCCUGUUUGUAUUCUGCUACUGUAUGUAAUUGAACAGAGGAAUAAUGAAGUGUAUUACCUGGAGGUCCAGUGUCCUGCAGAGUUUAGCUCCAACCCCAAUUGUACACACCUAAACAAGCUAAUCAAACUCUUCCUAGUAUUACAAGUGUCCAGGUAGGUGUAUUUAGGCAAAUUUGACCUAAACUCUGCAGGAGAUUGGCCCUCCAGCACCAAGUUUGGGCACCCCAGCACUAGAUUAUAACUAAAAGACAGAAAACAAAUGCACUGCAUAAAGCUACUUUUAAAUGGCGAACUACCUCUUUACUAGCAAAAAAAACUCUUUAUGUUAUUACAUAUGUGUCUGAGCAGCUGAAGAAUUUCUGAAUGGCUGAAGAAUUUCUGAUUGGCUGAAGAAUUUCUGAAUGGCUGACGUAUUACUGAAUGGCUGAAGAAAAACAAAAUGAAGACAAUGGCCUCUUCAAAGUCCUGACCUGAAUCCAGUUAAGUUGCUGUGGCAUGACCAUGAGAGGCAGUUCAAGUUUGAAAACCCUCCAAAGCGGCUGAAUUACAAUUCUGCAGAGAUGAGCAAGCCAAUCAUCCCACACAGUGCUGUAACCGACUCAUUGCAAGCUAUCUAAAAUGCUUGGUUGCAGUCACUCAGGGCUAUGUAGUUUUAAAAUUUGUUUCCCCUUAUAAUAAAAACCUUAAUUUAAACUGCA